CUCAAGGGUUGGAUGGCGGAGGCUUUGUGCUUGUGUGUUACUGAACGGACGUUUCUGGGUCCUCCCAUUACUCCUUGGGGAAGGAGAAUUGGGAAGAGAAGUCUGAGGCAGCAAGAACUGAAGGAGCCAAGCACCGGUGGAUGAUGGAAGGUCAGCGAGGGGCUCCCCGGAGGAGCCGGGGCCGCCCGGUGUCCAGGGGAGGUGCCGGACACAAAGCCAAGAGAGUCACAGGGGGCCGGGGCGGCCGGCAGGGGCCCAGCCCUGCCUUCCACUGUGCUCUCUGUCAGCUCCAGGUCAAUUCAGAGACCCAACUGAAGCAGCACAUGAGCAGCAGGAGGCACAAAGACCGCCUGGCCGGGAAGACCCCCAAGCCCUCCAGCCAGCACAGCAAGCUGCAGAAGCACGCAGCGCUGGCUGUGAGUAUCCUCAAGUCUAAACUGGCCUUGCAGAAGCAACUCACCAAGACGUUGGCAGCCCGCUUCCUGCCCAGCCCGCUCCCCACCGCAGCCACUGCCAUCUGUGCUCUGCCAGGGCCCCUGGCCCUCCGCCCUGCCCCUACAGCAGCCACUACCCUCUUCCCGGCUCCCAUCCUGGGCCCAGCUCUGUUUCGCACCCCAGCAGGAGCUGUCCGCCCUGCCACAGGACCUAUCGUCCUUGCCCCUUAUUAGCCCUCAUGGGGAGGCCAGAGCUGAUUUCCCAAUAGCCACUCCUUGUCUCCUCCUGUCCUGAGACACCUUGGUUUCCUACAUGCCACAGGGACUGUGAACAGCUUCAGGGGUCCUGCCCGAUCCAGAAAGAGCUGGGCUAGUUUUAAGGGCAGCUGCCUUCCAAGGACUGUCCCCACCCUCCUUUCGCAGGCCUUCCAGGGUUAAUCCUAGGCUUGCCUGCAUUUCCCACCCUGACAGACCCCAAAGAUCUAUGCAAAAUCUCAGCCCCAGCCAUGUGGUGCUCUCACUUUCCUCCACCCAAGACCCACAUGGCCAGACUCUAGGAAUCUUAGCUUCUACAAGCCAUCCUCUCCUAGCCAGGGGACGACUCUCUGACCUCUAUUCCUAGGCUUUGGGGCUUCACUGGAGAUAGGGAUGGGGUCUCUAGCUGCAGCAGGCUCAAGGCUGUCAGGACAAGGUGACCAUGGGAGUGUGACAGAGGACCAUGGAGGAGAAAGGGGGACCCAAAAGUCCUUCGAUCAGCAGUGCUAAGGUGGGGCAGAGCCAAGGAGGUAGUGGGGCUGGUUCUGAAAGCUUUUGGGGGCUUCAUCUGCUCUGAAGGGGUGGGACUAAGAGAGGAGGUGAUGUUCUGGUUGGGCCCAGGGUUUUGUUUUAAUCUUAAGUCUUCUGGGCAUUCAUGGGCCCAGUCUUUUUUUCUGUCUGAGAGUAUCAUUCUGUUGCCCAGGUUAGAGUGCAGUGGUGCAAUCUUGGCUCACUGCAUGCAGCCUCUGCCUCCCUGGUUCAAGUGAUACUUGCUGAUAAGCCCAGUCUUAAUAUUGAGGGAGUAACUCAUCCCUCAGAAGCUCUUCUUCUUAGCCUUUCUCUGACUUCCUGAACCCCAACUCUUGGAGGGCGGGUGUGGGUCUCCCUCAGACUAUGGACUCAGCUAACACCGAACCCCCCGCAGAGCUCCCAAAGGAAGAGCUUUCCCCUACAGCUUCCCACUCCAAACUGGUCCUAGCACUAAAUUCAGCUUUCCCUUCUCCCAACCAGCCCCUGCCACUGUGAAGCUGAGUGUUGGGAGGCAGUCUCACAUGCACUGGCAAGACCCAUUUUCAUGCUGUCAAUGUCAAUGUCACAAACUCCUUUCCACUGCAGCACUGCCCCCUCCCCACCCCACAAUAUGGGACCCUGCCAGUAUCCCCCUGUAUCUUUUUUUUGUUUUUUAAAGACAUUUCCAAUGGGAGAACCAGAAAAAGGGGGAGGGGAGGGAAACUUUUUGAUAACAAUUGUGGUUUUAUUGUGUCCAACCAAUGCAUCAAUAAAUGAACUUGAAGCCCAA
rnacentral:lncRNA from 1 species